UAGUUUUCUUUUUUGAUGCUUUGAUACGAUCUUAUUUAUUGUCCAAUUGGCUGCAGUAUGCAGAUUGGUUUCUUAAUUUGUUCAUUUACAUUUUCAUCCUUCAAUUUCAUCAUUCCGCUGUUGUUGAUCGAUUAGGAAUUUCAGGGAAAUCAUUCAAUUCCAGCAUAAAAGUUGUUGAUUCCAUUCCAGAAGUGGAAAGUCGAAAAUCGAAAGUCGAAACUUUGUGGAUCCAUUCGUUCUCCUCACACAAUCACACUACUGCAGAAACAUCUGACCUCCGUUCGCCAAGCAAGAUUAAGCAGAUAUGAGAUCAGGGUACAUACACUUCUCCAACAAAAAGAAAGCAGGGAAGGGGACAGCUCCAUCUUUGGUUGAUUUAUGUGUUCAGAUUGCGAUAGAUAACAUUCGGUACAUAGGCAAUGUUGGUGCUACAGAUUCACAUCUUCUUGAUCGUAUUUUACCCCAUUGUACAGUGGAUCAAUUGAUGCAUAUUGAGAAUGCUACAGAUGAGAGAGAUCUAAGUCCAGUCACUGAUAAAUUAUGGAAGAAAUUUUAUGGGGAUAAAUUUGGUGCUAAGAGCAUAGAAGUGGUAAUGGAAAGAAUGAGAAAAUUUAAGGUGAAAUAUAGCUGGAGACAGUUGUAUCAGGCGAAAUUAAAGGAUCAGGAUGAAGCUCAGAAAAAAUCACUAGAGCGACUAGCACAGUCUUUCAAGAAUGAAAAUGCCCGUAAGCAAAGUCGUCAAAUCCAGAUAUGUGCAAAGGUUCCACCAUCAUCCAAGAAACGAGCUUUUGGUGGAGGAUUUGGAGAAUCGAGCUUUGCCAAUGUCAAGAGCAGCAUAAUGAAGAAGGCGAAAAUUGAAUUGUUUAAAAGCCCAGAGAUGAGAAACCGGGCAGCUAUAAGGAAAAUAGGUGUACAGCAGCAGCGAAGUAACAGUAUUCCGGGACCUCAAAUUGAUCGAGGGAAAAGCAUCGGUUCUUAUUCAAAAUUUACCAAUUAAGCAAUUCGAUGGGAAUAGAUAAUGAUUUAUGGGUUAUGAGGAAAGCAAUUGUAAAUAUAAGUACGUUGAGGAUGAAGCCAAGUAUCAGCGUUCGAAGAGUAUCUCACUAUUCACUGCCAAUUGCUAAACCUGAGUUUGAGCCACCUGCUUGUGAUAUGUGGCUUAGCUGUAUAUCCAGUAUUAAACUUCUCGAGAGAAUCUUGACCGCGCUCUCUUUUAUGGGUAUGAGUUGUCGCUAUCCUUCCCUCUCCAGACCCUGACCAUAGUUUUCUAUGGGCAGAAUACACUGGGUUUGAUGAUAUUGAUGAUGAUGAUCCUUUAAUCAACUAAUCCAGACAAUAUGAAUUUGAAAGAGCCCAUGUUUCUUCUUCAUGCACCUUCAUGCACUACAUACUGAGUGAUCUAAGGGAUUAGGGUUUUUCUAAUCAAGGAUUUUAGGAUUUGGGAUAAUGGGGGAAGUAAAUUCAAGCAUGGUGAACAAAGAGCAGAUGAAUGGUGUGAUGAUAAGGGGGCAGGUAUAAGGCUUUGCAAUGACGUCAAUUGACUGUAUUUAAGUUUUAUGUUAAAUUAUUUAUCUAGAGAUACUAAUAUAUGUGUUAGUUAAGUAGGUUUAAGUUUUCUUUUGUCAUAGUAUUGAUUAGGGUUUAAAACCUAGUAUUUCCAAUCCUCAUUAUUUGGUAAAGCUUUCUUAUCUAUGUCCGUAAGUUCAAGUCAUCUAAUCAUCCUUUAUUUGUUACCUUCCAAAGAUCACUGGUAACGAAUCACAAUAGAAAUAUUACUCGCAAUUAAUUGUAGCAAUUUAGCAAUACUCGAACUGAUCUAAGAAAAAUUUUGACUUUAAUAAAUAAAAUAACACAA